AUUUUUUACUUUCUAUCAGCACGCUAUGAAGACUUAGAACAAACAGAUGUCAGAGUGCAGUACUUAUGGGAAGCCCUGAUGAACUUCACCAAUGAGGAUCGCAGCAGGUUUUUGAGGUUUGUGACUGGGAGAAGUCGUCUUCCUGCUCCGAUUUAUAUCUUCCCAGACAAACAAGGAUCCGAAACCACAGAUGCACUUCCUCAAUCUUCCACAUGU